rnacentral:lncRNA from 1 species
UCCUCUGUGUCUUUCGUACCUCUUCCUGCAGCAUGGCUGUUCACUCGGAUGGAUUAAUUUGCCAUGCUCACUGCUGUUUCGUCUGCUUUGUUACUUUCUCCCUGAAGCAGAGGCGAUGAAAGGUUCAGAUUGUUGCCCUUGUGAGAAGAACUCAUAGUGCUGUGAAAACGGACUCAAGUUCACGAUUGGAGAGAAUGCAAGCAGAACAGAGACAGGAACUCUGAAUGUGGAGGGGAGAUACCUACUCGCUGCACUCCCAAAGCAAACAUUUUCACUGCUAAUCUGAAGUAUAUCCAGCUACGCAUUGAAGUGGAACCUUUUCUUCAUCAUCCGAGAUUGUGGAAAACACCAACAUCCUUGAAAACAUAAGCUGAAAUCAAGGACAGAGUGUGCA